UACAGAGGUCUCAAGCGUUGUUCGGAUUCAUUGGGCGUAAAGGGCGCGUAGGCGGCGCAACAAGUCACUUGUGAAAUCUCCGGGCUUAACCCGGAGCGGCCAAGUGAUACUGUCGUGCUAGAGUGCGGAAGGGGCUACUGGAAUUCUCGGUGUAGCGGUGAAAUGCGUAGAUAUCGAGAGGAACACCUGCGGCGAAGGCGGGUAGCUGGGCAACAACUGACGCUGAGGAGCGAAAGCGUGGGGAGCGAACAGG
rnacentral:rRNA from 1 species